rnacentral:lncRNA from 1 species
GUGGGCCAUAAAACUGAAUCAAGUCAGGAGAGUAUCCACAUAGUUCAUCUGGCCUGUGAGGUACACAAAAUGAUUGCAGAAAUCAGAGACAGAAGAAGAUGAAAACAGUUCCAGUCUGUAAGGCUGUGGAUUCUGGGCUCUGCCGUGGUGUCCUUUGAGAAAUUCUAUUUCAUGCGGGAACGAUAUGGGCUCACCAUGCUUGCUGCACCUCAGCAUGACUCCAUUAAAACUGAUCAGCCUUGGAGUUUUCUAAAUCAUCUGUCACUGUAAUAUCCUGCUGACAACUCUAUGCUCCUCUGAGCUUGCUGAAAAACCUCAAGAAUGUCCUGGAAGAAGGUCUCAGUGUUACUGGGGAAACCACAGCCUAGAAACAGAGAGUGCAGCAGCAGAGGUCUUAGCAGAGGCGCUGCAAGAUAUGAACACUGGUGCACCAUGUGCAGAAAGCUGCUGUUACCAGCCCAGUAUCCACCCGGCUGGAGUCAGCAGGAAGGAGCAUGAGCUCAGUUUUUUCUUCACACUGAAGAAUCAGGAUCUGAACUCAUUUCUGUCAUGGUUUAACAUCCUCAGCAUGUCUGAACAUCUUUCUGCACCAUUUUUAGGAUGCUGUAACCCAGCUCUCCUCGCUGCCUGGUGGUCAGAGAUUAGAGGACUAGGAUGUUUCACUGGCAGACGGCAGGGUCUUGCUUCAACAUCAAAAGCUAACUACCAUAGAUUGAUCAAGAAAUUACAGAGUGGAAGACAAAUUUUCAAUGCAUAUAUGUAAUGCCAGGAGAAUUUUCUUCAGAUUCAGCACCACAAUUUAGUACAACAGCAAAGUUCAGGGAGAAAAAAAGAUUUGCUGACAGAAAAGCCUGAACUUCUCAGCAGCAGCCCAGCUAACAUUUCCUGAAAUGGCAAUUGCACUAUAAACAGACUCACUCUGUUGGCUGUAGGGCACUGUCUCAUCUGGAAACACCCAUUUCGCAGUGGCUGCACAAUUAACAGAUAUUUCCCUAAUAAUUCACUGUCUGGAAUAUUUUGCUUUUUUUUUCAAUAAAAUUUCCUUGCCACUAAAAAGUGUACA